rnacentral:lncRNA from 1 species
UGGAAGAUCUUUAAGAGGGGGAGAAGAAGACCAAUAGUGUCUAUUCAGACACAAUUCAAACCGAUAGUGUCUAUUGACUCUACUCAGACUAAAGGAGAAAGCCAAAAACUUUGUUGUCGAGGAUGUCUUGGCUGUCGCCCAUGUCAUGGGCCAAGUGGACCGUGGACAGCAGUCCGGGGAGCAGAGGAGGGAGAGGAGGUGGAGGGCCAGGAGGUGAAGGAGGAAGAUGGACUGCUGCCUUGUGGAGGGCAGCGAGAGGAGGAGGAAGAAGAGAGAUCUCAACGCUGCAGUUCAGACUCAGAGGGCCACUUUGAAACCCCAGAGGCUCAGAGCCCUGUCCAUGCUCCACUCCAAGUCCCAGAAGAGCUGGAGACCUUCACCACUGACAGAGCAGAUGCCCUGGAGGAGGAGGAUGAACAGCUGAUAGUGUCUGGCCCAGCCAGAGAUCCAGCUCCUA